UACGAAGGGGGCUAGCGUUGCUCGGAAUUACUGGGCGUAAAGGGCGCGUAGGCGGAUAUUUAAGUUAGAGGUGAAAGCCCAGGGCUCAACCCUGGAAUAGCCUUUAAUACUGGAUAUCUUGAGUCCGGGAGAGGUGAGUGGAACUGCGAGUGUAGAGGUGAAAUUCGUAGAUAUUCGCAAGAACACCAGUGGCGAAGGCGGCUCACUGGCCCGGUACUGACGCUGAGGCACGAAAGCGUGGGGAGCAAACAGG
rnacentral:rRNA from 1 species